rnacentral:rRNA from 1 species
AUUGAACGCUGGCGGCAGGCCUAACACAUGCAAGUCGAACGAGUGGCGGACGGGUGAGUAAUGUCUGGGAAACUACCUGAUGGAGGGGGAUAACUACUGGAAACGGUAGCUAAUACCGCAUACCAUCAGAUGUGCCCAGAUGGGAUUAGCUAGUUGGUGGGGUAACGGCUCACCAAGGCGACGAUCCCUAGCUGGGCUGAGAGGAUGACCGGCCACCCUGGACCUGAGCCACGGUCCCGACUCCUCCGGGGGUCGGCGGUGGGUAGUUUUGCACAUUGGGCGCAAGCCUGAGGCGGCCGUGCCGCGUGUGUAAAGAAGGCCUUCGGGUUGUAAACUCCUUUCGGCGGGGAGGCGUUACCCGACCAGGAAGCCCCGGCUAACUCCGUGCCAGCAGCCGCGGUAAUAC